CCAUCCUAGUACUACUCUCGCC
rnacentral:sRNA from 1 species